rnacentral:rRNA from 1 species
UACGAGGGGGCAAGCGGUUGUUCGGAAUUAUUGGGCGUAAAGGGUGCGUAGGCGGUUUGAUAAGUCACAUGUGAAAUCUUCGGGACUCAACCCGAAGUCUGCAUGCGAAACUGUCGGGCUUGAAGUAUGGGAGAGGUGAGUGGAAUUUCCGGUGUAGCGGUGAAAUGCGUAGAUAUCGGAAGGAACACCUGUGGCGAAAGCGGCUCACUGGACCUAACUGACGCUGAUGCACGAAAGCUAGGGGAGCAAACAGG